rnacentral:ncRNA from 1 species
AUUAUUAUUAUUAUAUAAUAUGAUGGUGCUUAAUGUUAAUUAGUAAAGUUUGUUGCGUUUCAUUAAUGUGUGUGUGUGUUUCGAUUGUUCGAUCAUCGAAUAAAUCGAUAAUGUUAACGAGAACGUUAAUCACCUCUCUGACCCGUCUUGAAACACGGACCGAGGAGUGUAACUUGUACGCAAGUGAAUAGAUGUGAUAAAUCUAUAAGCGUAAUGAAAAUGAAGACCGGUAUAAAAACGGUUAACAUGGGAGAUAUUUUCGUUAUUAUAAGGAAAAUAUUACACCAUGGCCCUGUCUAAUCUGCAUGCAGAUGGGCAGCGGUAGAGCGUACAGGUUGCGACCCGAAAGAUGGUGAACUAUGCCUGAGCAGGAUGAAGUCAGAGGAAACUCUGAUGGAGGUCCGUAUCGGUUCUGACGUGCAAAUCGAUCGAUAGACUUAGGUAUAGGGCGAAAGACUAAUCGAACCAUCUAGUAGCUGGUUCCCUCCGAAGUUUCCCCCAGGAUAGCUGGAGUUCAUUAUUGUACAUUUAUUAUACGGUUAUAUCCGGUAAAGCGAAUGAUUAGAGGAAUUGAGAUCGAAACGAUCUCAAAAUAUUCUCAAACUUUUAAUGGGUAUGUUGUCGCGGUUUCUUUACGAACACUGUUCGUCGUUGAACUGUUGACAUGAACGUGAGCUCUGAGUGGGCCAUUUUUGGUAAGCAGAACUGGCGCUGUGGGAUGAACCAAACGUUAGGUUAAGGUGCCAAAUUUUUCGCUCAUAAGAUCCCAUAAAAGGCGUUGGUUGAUAUAGACAGCAGGACGGUGGCCAUGGAAGUCGGUAUCCGCUAAGGUGUGUGUAACAACUCACCUGCCAAAUCAUCUAGCCCUGAAAAUGAAUGGCGCUUGAGCGAAAGACCUAUACCUAACCAUUGUUGGCAUGUGAGAUGAUUAUUCGAUACGUUUUUAUUUUCGAAUUUUUUUUUCUUGAUGAAAAUCGUAAAUCGAAUCCGACGCCUGGCCACAAUGAGUAGGAGGGUCGUAGCGGUUGCGUUGAAGGCGUUAGGUGUAGACCUAGCUGGAGCUUCCGUUCUUCAUACUACGAAUUUAAACGUUAUUUUGUUAUUGAAAUAUAUUU